GGGGAAGCUGACUCUGGAGUUAACAGGCCCAGCCCUGGGGGAUCCUUGCGGGGAUCCUUGCAGAGUUUCAGCAGGUAAGGCCACUGCCAGGGCCUCAUUCUGCCAGGCCCAUUUUAGGGCCCUAAAUUGCCAUCUUUUUCACAUCUGAAAGGACACUGGAGGCAGCACCCAGAGGCACUCAGGGCAAGCCUGAACCUUCUGUAUUCACAGGACUGAAAAUCAGCUGGGAACGUGAAAGGCAAGGGGCUCCAGUCCCUCUGCCUCUGGACCACGCGUGCAGGACAUGAGGCUGCCACAGGAUCAGCUCUGAAAGCUGAGUCCUCAGAGUCCUUGUGAAGGAGGGAAGCUUACCUGCCUGGGAACCUGGAAAAUCCUGCCUGAACCUCUCAUGGUUUAUAAAUGAGAAGGGAGAGAAUUGCUAUCACAUUAGAAGGCAUAGAAAAUCCUUAAAACAAAUAAGUAAUAAGAGAAGCAAACUCCACUGGAAUGUAAAAUGAAUUAUAAAGCUACCAUGCUGAAGAGAGGCAAAUACUGGCCCUAGGAUGAAAAGAUUCAUGAACACAGUGGAAAGUACAGAAAGAGAACCACAGGGACACUGGAUCAACACCCAGGGGCACUCUGAGAAGGCCUGAACCUGCUUUAUUGACAGGACUGAGGGUCAGGUAUGUUGGUGGGUCUUGGACUUCCCUCCAAGGUAAAUGGCUGUGUGUGUGUGAUCCUGGGUGAGUGUGUAUGUGUGUAUGUUUCUCUGUGUGUGUGCACACGUUCCUCUGUGUGUGAUCUCUUUAUUAGAGGAUUUCAGUUCAUUGAAGUACAAGUGUGAGUUGUUUUUUUUUAAGUAGUGCCGGGUGCUAUGUCAUGCAAUAGUUGAGAUAUACUAAACUAAACACUUAUUUAUCUGAACUUCCAAAUUUCCUGGAUAUUGCAUAUUUUAUUUAGCAACUGUACCCCCAAAAAGCAGACUGAUAUCUGCAGUGAACCUGGAUUCACAGAUGGAGAUACAGGUGAUAAAACAAGUAUGUUAAAAUAAUUGUGAAAAUUCAGUAGUGCAUACACAGAUUUUCACCUCUUCUAUAACAAGUAUGUUUAGACACAUUUAAAAUAUGCAUAAUAAGAUGGAGAACAUGUCCCUCUUGGGUGUUGUGUUGGCCAGGCUCAGAGAAUUCCGUUUCUGCUGUCAUCAGAGCUGGGAAUGAGAAAGACUGGGGGCUCCAGGUGGUCUCCCACUGCCUCUGGACCACACGUGCAGGACACGAGGCUGCCGCAGGAGCAGCUCUGAAAGCUUGAGUCCUCAGGGUCCUUGUGAAGGAGGGACGCUCACCUGCCUUGGAGCCUGGAAAAUCCUGCCUGGGACAGAACUCUCAUGGUUUAAAAAUGAGAAGGAAGAGAAUUACCAUCACAUUAGAAGGCAUAGAAAAUCAUUAAAACAAAAAACUAAUAAGAGAAGCAAAUGUAAAAGGAACUGUGCUGAGGAGAGGCCAAUAUUGGCAUGAGAAUGAAAAUAUUCAUGGAAUGCAGUGGUAAGUCCAGAAACACAGCCACGAGUAUGUAUAAUUUUAUCAUGUCAUAAAGUUGUAUGUUAAUAUCCACAAAGAAAUACUUGAUUAAUAUUUUCUUCUUUGGGAAUUGACUUGCCAUAUGGAAACACAUAUUCUUGGCUUGCUAAAUUAAACAGCACAAAUAGAAAUUUAGUUGUAAUAAAACUGAAAACAGGAAAUCAUUAGACUUAAAUGAUGAUGAAUUGCAUACUAAUUAUAGGUGACAUUGUUCUCUCUGAGCCUGACAUCAUAAUAGAGACCUUAGAAAAAUUAAUAGAUUUUAUUAAAAGUAAUAUACAAAGUUCAGUUCACCAACAGGUGCCCAAAAUAAAUAAUAGCAAAUGAAGAGAAAAAUUUUCAACACGUUUGAUAGAAGAGCACUGUCUCUAAAAUGGUGUAUAUCAAUUCUCACAAACAAAUAAGAAAAAUUAAUACCUCAAUGGAAGAAGAGGCAAAGAGUAUGAAAAGGCAGUUCACAAAAGAUGUAUAAUCAGCCUAUAAAAUUGUAAAAUAAUGCUAGUAUUCAUAAAGAUAAGAAAAUGCAAAUGGAACAAAUCUCACUUUCUGAACUCCAGAGCUUGGAUUGAAAUUGCGAUCAAAUUAAAAUAUACGACUUAGGGAAUGUUACAUAAACCCUCAAUUCUCAUCUGCUAUAUUCAAUGGUGCUUUAAUCUGUCAAUAAGGUAUCUGUGAGGAUUCAAUAACAUAUGCAUGUAAUAUACUGACUUACUGGUACAGUAACUACCACAAAGUCAGUACCCAAUUUGCCAUCAGUAUUUUUAUUAUUACUAUGGUAAUUAUUGUAUAAAAAUUCCAGAUAUAUCAAUAUCAAGUAAUGAAUCAAAUAUUAAUGAAAUGGUAUGAAUAUCUUUGUGCAUACUCCGAAGUAUGUUCACCUUUCCAAGUAAGACACAAAAUCCAGAUGCCAGAAAAUAAAAGAUUGAUUAAAAUGUAUAAAAACCGAUUAUCACAGCAAAAAAUAAAUAUGACAUUCCAAUAGAAACAGUGCAUACUGCACAUAUGACAAACAAAAUACGUAUUUCUGAAAUAGUGAUAGACGUCUGAGUGAAUAAGAAAAAGUGAAAAAGCUCAACUGAACCGAAAAAGAUAUUGUUGCCUAUAGGAUGAGAGAGAGAAGAGGAAAGAGAAUUCUAGAAUGGAAGUUAAAAUCUCUGAAUCUAUCAUGUUUUAUAAUUUUUGGCGUCAGUUCCAUGUAAAUGUUUCACAGACACAAAUCAAAUCUACACAACAAACUUCCAGAAUAUAAAACCAAAGAUGGAACAAAUAAACCAGGUGUAUCAAUGUCGAUGAUUUUGGUGAAAAGUAUUAUGAUUGUGUGCCCAAAAAAGAAAGAGGCAGGAAGGAAGGAAAGAAGGAAGGAAGGAAGGAAGGUAGG